UGACAAAUCACACAAAGAACAGCAGACCAGUUUUAGUGGCUUUUAAUUUUUAGAGAGCUCAUUUUAAGUGGCAUCUGCCUCUAAAUCAUUUAAUCAGGUCAUUAAAAGCUGUUAAUGCAAUCCUUACUUCACGGGACAGUGCUGUGAGCUCCUGGGGUGGUUUAGCUGAUAGCCACUUUAUUGAUGUCCUUGCACAUGACACAGUUCAGUUAAAAAAAAAAAAAAAACUCUAACUGUACUAAUCGAAGCCUUCAGCCUGCAGCACUAGAGCGGAACAGACAGAUAACACUGCACGGUCACGUCCACAUGCUGCAGUGAUCACAGUUUCUGAGCUGUAAAGACUAAACCCAGAAAAGAAAUAGAGCAACAUAUCACAACAGCCUCUUUAAAAUCCUUAGCACAGCACGUCCAUGUGACUGGGUCUGUAAUUCUGUAAUUGUUUUAGAAAUAAUUUUUCAAUAGCAGGAGUCAGAGCAUGAAUUAAAAUUAGUUCAGUCUAUUUAUUGCAGGAGAAGAGAUUAUCUUACCUGAAAGCCUGUCAAGUGUACCGAGUCCCACUCUGUACAGAUUCUUCACUUGUUUUUUUUUUUUUUUCUUUUUUCUUCGUCUCUUGCUCCUGCAAAUGCUUUUGGGGAAUACAAAAGAACUAAAUUGAAAGAACCUUCUAAUCUAAUAUUUUGUUUUUACAAAACAAAGAAAACAAGACAGACAACCUUAACACAACCUCAUCUGAAAAGGAGUAAAGCAUCCUGUGCUGAUUCUCUCCGUUUCUCUCUCUGUCUGUCUCACUCACUUACACACACACAUGCACAAACACACAUAACGAGUCGAACCAUGGAGAAGUCGCUUUCUGAACACUUUCAUGGGUAGACAGAGCCAUUAUAGAGAUUAGGCAUUAUAUUGUCACUUCACCUGCCUUUGUAGUGUGUUUUAAAAGUGAGGGUAAUUUAACAACCUCUUAGACAUUAUUGCUGAAAUAUUGAUACAAUUAGAUUUUUUUCAAGGUAUAUGUUUAUUUUCAGCGUUGGGUAGUGAUUAUAUGUAAUCUGGAUUACGUAAUCAGAUUCCAAAAAUUGAGCACUCAUUACUGGAUUAUAUUACAUUUUAAAAUGCUCAGAUUACAGUUAUUUUUGAUGGAUUACAAGAUUAUACAUUUUUCAUAAAAUUGCAGUAAAUAAUUUAUUAAAAUUAUUUUAAAAUAAUUUACUGUGCAGUAAAAAGCUCAUAAUUUAUUGGUUCUCUAUCAUUCUUUUUUUUUUCCUUAUUUAAUGGUUCCUUUCCAAAACUCCUACUGUGUCAUACCAUUUAGCUUUGUCUAUUUUCACAAUGUAGAAUGGUCAUGUACAUGUAAAUAAUUCUGUGAUCCAUGCUUAUGAAUUUUGGGGGGCCAAAAUGCACCCCUCAAGCAAUUAGACCAUGUAUGAAACAAAUAAUUAUGUAAGCUACUAAACAAUGGUUAUAUAGCUGCAAAUACUGUUUUCAUCAUAUCCAGUAACCUUCAGUAACUAUUGGUUCUGGAAGUCAAGACACUUUGGGCAUGUAAUGUCAUUGCUAUAAUUAUGUUUAUGAAUGUUUAUCAUUUGUUCAUGUAAUGCAGGGAUUCCCAAACAUUUUUGUCAGCCAAACCCCUUUGACAAAAAAUAUUUUCUUGAAAUAUCCCUGAGGAAGUUAAUAUUUCAAUAAUUUUUCAACAAGACAUACAUAUAUUCUCAGUGCUCCAAUAUCAUUUAAUGGUCACACUGACAUGCAGGUAAUCAAAUUUUAAUUUGUGUUCAAAUGUUAUUUUGAUAGUUUUUGUUUUAAAAUAAGUUUCUUUUUAUUUUACCUUUAUAUGACUAAAUUAAUUAUUAGCUUUUUAUCAACUCACAAAUUGAUACUUUUAUUAACCCCAGUUAGGGAAACCCUGGUAAUGUAAUUUUUAAUGCACUUCAGAAUGUUGGUAUCAAACAAUGGAAUAUAUUUUAUUUCUCUUUGCUUUUUAAUAUAAAUAUUGUACAUUUAAUGGUAAGUUUAGGUUAGGUAAAAUGUAAUCUAAAAAGCAGCCUGAAUACAUUAACUAAAAUGAAUAACCUAGAUUACUAUAAUGUAUUGGUAUAUAAUAUAAUACGCACGACAAUGAGUAUGUAAAAAUGUUAGAAAUUUUUUAAUAAAUCCAGGGAGAAACUGCA
ensembl:lncRNA